UUGGAGCAAAUGUUGGGUUUCUUCUCGAUGGAGGAUAGCAUAGCAACGAGUAAUAGAAGGGCGUGGAUCUGUGGCUAAGAUCUGUGAUCGAAUUUGCUAAAAACUUUCAUUAAGGCCCAUAAGGAAUUGAUAAACCCGAUCUGUGUCUUGAGAUUCAACGAGAGAUUUACGGGCAUCACAUGUACAUGGACUGAUUGGUUGUAAGGAGCCUAAUUCAUCCCAUAACUCCUUCAAUUUUCCAUAGUAUGCUGUAAUUGAAUUUUGUUCCUGGUGGAGAUUGGCCAAAUCCCGUUUUAGUUGGAAAACUUUGGUGCGGUUGCUUUGUUGGGAGCGGGUUUCUAGUUCUACUCAUAAACCAUUCGGUGUAGCACAAUAGAGAAGGCUGCCUGUAAGCAAGCGAUCGAUGGAAUGGAGCAUCCAUGACAUUAUCAUGUCACACCAUCGGUCCCAGAGUAAUGCUGCAGCGGAGUCUUCGGUGGGUCGUUUGAUGGUGCCGAGAACAAAGCCCAAUUCGUUCUUGGCAUUAAGUGCUCGAGUGAUUGCUCGACACCAAGCGGGAUAAUUCUCGCCAUUAAGAGGUGUAUCCACAAGGAACUGAUUUGGUUGGUCAGAUGAAUGCAGGAAGUAUGUGGAUGAAGCAUCAGUGAGAGACUUGUUGAUGUCUAAGGCAGGGGAUUCGGCCAUGGUAGAAGCAAAGGUAUGAAUUUCAAAACCUAAUGCUCUGAUACCAUGUUAAGGCUCCGUUUGGUAGGGAUUUUUUGCCAAAAAAAUUGAUUUUUUGUUCGUUAUUUUACUAUUCAAGUCGUAAUUUUUGACUUCUUCUCUCAUAUAUGGACCCCACUUUUAUUCUAACGGUUAAAAAAUCAAUUCUCAAAAUCCCUACCAAACAGGGCCUAAGUUUCAAUGUAAUGAAAAUAAACUUCAUUAAUUUUGUAUGUAAUACAUUGAUACACACACACACACACAUAUAUAUAUAUAUAUAUAUGAAAUCUGCUAUGUAAGGAAACAAAACUAAUCUAGGAAAUAAUAUGUAGCAAAAUAAUCUCUAUGAUUCCUAGAAUCAUGCAUAAUACACUAAGAAAUCUUUGAAGUGUUUCGAGACCAUCUAUUGUAAUUUUUGAGAGAAAUGGUCGUGUUCUUCACGGGUUGAAGAUUUGCAUCUUUGGAGGAAGUUCAAAAGCUUAAAACCGACAAGACAUUCAGUGCUAAUUGAACAAAUAAUUGAUAUUACAGGACACUGUCAAUUUUAAAAAUGAAGUUUGUUUUUAAAAUUGUAUUGUGUCCUCGAUCUUUUUCAAUUUUAGUGAAGUGUUCAAUAGUUGGCUGUGACCCGCGGAUGUAGCCAAUUGACAAAUCAUGUGAAUUUACCAGUGUUAUUAUCUACGCUUUUUACUUUUACGGUAAAUUAAUUAAUCUGAAAUUAAAUUUUUUUGGUGAAAGCUAAAACCUGAUCCUACACAUUGCUUUUGGCGCACUGAUCCUAACAUAAGGAACGCAUGCAAGAAAAUAACUUAAAAGUUCAUGGCAAGUUAUGAAUUCAUUUUGAAAAGGACAAAAUCAUAAUGCACUAAAACUUGAUACCAGAUUGAAAUGUUCAAUUGUCCCAGAAACGUUAUCACGAUGACCUUUUUGUUAUUUAUAUUUUGUAUUUAAUGACAGACGUAUUUUCUUCUUUUCGAAUUUUAUUGGAAUGUAAACUAUCUCAGAAACGCUUUCGUGUCAAUAAUUAUUUGUCUUAGUAUUUUAUAUGUAACGACAAACAUAAUUUCCUUUAUUAAAGGAAAAAAAAAUCUUGAAAUGAUUAAGAGAAAGCUUCUAGAGAAUUUGAAAGAAUAAAACGAAAAAAAUUAGAGAUUAAAGAACAUGAAUGGAAAUAGAUAUACAAUUAGAAACAUGGCAAAUCUGAAAUAGGAUCAUAUAGUCAUGGAGUAAACUAGUUGGUGGCCCUACAGAUCCUUCUUAUGAUCCCAUUUUGGCCAGUGAGCGGUUCAAGAUCUCCCAUCUUGAUCAUGGCAUUUCCAAAAUCAGACAUGAAUGUUCUUGGAUUUCUACUGUACUCGGAAACAAUACUGUCUGUUGAUCCUCCACUGAACAGAACUUGAUCUGAUUGAAGAAGACCCUUUCUCUGCAUUAGAUUCUUAAAGUAAUUGUUAUCAAAUGAAUUGGGUGUCACCAAUUCUAGGGCUGCCAAAUUACUGUCUCCACUAUUUCUAGGGCAUUGGCGCCUACGAGUGCUAGCGAAUCCAGCAUCAAUGUCUGUUCUAUUGCUGUAUAUCCUAUCCCGGAAGAGAAAACAUUGGGAUUGGCCUAUUGUAUGAGAUCCUGCAUUUCAGUAGUAAAUUUUAGCUCAACAAACAUCAAACAAGUGUAAAAAACAAUAAUAAUAUGGAUGCUAGGCGUUUUAAUUACCCGAUAAGGCAACCAUGUCUCUAGCACUAAGUCCCUUGUUCGCAAACGCAGAAAUAAGUGUGUUGAGAUCGGAAAAAGGACUUGGAAGAUCGGUGUUAGCUACAGAACGACUAGCAGUUGUAGAAUCCCUUCUUCCAAGUUUCACGUUCCACGAUGGCCCACCAACCUGUGGUGCACAAAAAACUCUCAAUGAUGCUACACUAACAUCUUAAAUCACAUCCUAGAUGACAGAAUUGUCACGUGGUAAAAUUUCAUUGAACUGUUUAAAAACAAUUAACAAAUUCAUCCAAUCACUUUUUUUGCACUUCUUUUCUGUCAACAAAGAUGUCAAAUUUAUCUCACAACAAAGCUUAAUUCAAAACCAAUAAGUUUAGAUAUACGACAUGCCCCCUAAUAUCCGUGACGAAUUUAUUCUUUCUUACAAGGCUUUACACGUCCACAAUUUUCAAUAAUGACAAUAAUAAGAUGAUAAUAAGGUAUACUUGUACUUACAGCUGCGGAGGCAUCCCGGGCUGCCACUGUGAGUAUGUCUGCACACGAAACAACUCCUGGACAUAUUUUCUCAACCUCCCUCUUGGCAGCCUCUAUGACCUCAUAACCUCUUACAGAAUUUAUAUUUGGAAAUGCAGUUUUCUCACUUUCUAUAGAAGGGGUUUCGUCUAGUAAGAUUGAUGCAUCACAGCCUUGAACAAAGCAGUCAUGAAAAUGGAGGCGAAUGAGAGAGGCAGCCAUCCUGCGUUCUCGGGAUACUGCUUG
rnacentral:lncRNA from 1 species